UAGAGAGUCGCCGUUAUUGAU
rnacentral:siRNA from 1 species